GGCCACAUAGUGUAGUGGUUAUCACCCGGGAUUUUGAGAAUGAUUUCCCGUGACCCAGGUUCGAUCCCUGGUGCGGCCU
rnacentral:tRNA from 1 species